AGCGAACGCUGGCGGCAGGCCUAACACAUGCAAGUCGAACGGACCCUUCGGGGUUAGUGGCGGACGGGUGAGUAACACGUGGGAACGUGCCCCUUGGUUCGGAACAACUCAGGGAAACUUGAGCUAAUACCGAAUGUGCCCUUCGGGGGAAAGAUUUAUCGCCAUUGGAGCGGCCCGCGUCUGAUUAGCUAGUUGGUGGGGUAAUGGCCCACCAAGGCUACGAUCAGUAGCUGGUCUGAGAGGAUGAUCAGCCACAUUGGGACUGAGACACGGCCCAAACUCCUACGGGAGGCAGCAGUGGGGAAUCUUGCGCAAUGGGCGAAAGCCUGACGCAGCCAUGCCGCGUGAACGAUGAAGGUCUUAGGAUUGUAAAAUUCUUUCACCGGGGACGAUAAUGACGGUACCCGGAGAAGAAGCCCCGGCUAACUUCGUGCCAGCAGCCGCGGUAAUAC
rnacentral:rRNA from 1 species